GCCCGUAUAGAUCAAUGUUAGAUCAUCUCUCCACAGUUAUUGGGACAUUCAUUCCGAUACCGAGAAGGCGGAGGUUCAAAUCCUCCUGCGGGUA